CAGGUGGUGCAUGGUUGUCGUCAGCUCGUGUCGUGAGAUGUUGGGUUAAGUCCCGCAACGAGCGCAACCCUUAUUUCUAGUUGCCAGCAGUAAGAUGGGGACUCUAGAGAGACUGCCAGUGACAAACUGGAGGAAGGUGGGGAUGACGUCAAAUCAUCAUGCCCCUUAUGUCUUGGGCUACACACGUGCUACAAUGGUCAGAACAGAGGGAAGCGAAGCCGCGAGGUGGAGCAAAUCCCAGAAAACUGAUCUCAGUUCGGAUUGCAGGCUGCAACCCGCCUGCAUGAAGUCGGAAUCGCUAGUAAUCGCGGGUCAGCAUACCGCGGUGAAUACGUUCCCGGGCCUUGUACACACCGCCCGUCACACCACGAAAGUUAGUAACACCCGAAGCCGGUGGCCUAACCCGCAAGGGAGGGAGCUGUCGAAGGUGGGACUGAUGAUUGGGGUGAAGUCGUAACAAGGUAGCCGUAUCGGAAGGUGCGGUUGGAUCACCUC
rnacentral:rRNA from 1 species